AAAAAUAAAGAAAGGGAGAGAAACCCAUUUUUCUCGGAUUCCCUUUCUCUCACUCUCUCCCAAUUGUUAUGCCCAGCUCCGAUCGAGGCACUUUCAGCCACGACCACCGCCACGCGCCGCACAGGCAGCUCUGGAGGCCACCGAAACCCCCAGCCUCGUGAGCUUCUCUCCUCACGCGUGGGGUAAGGCCCUCAACAGAGCCUUCAUAGUCGCGGCGACGCCAUACAUUCCGAGACUUUUCAGCUUCAAUCCGGCACCUCAGGUCACCAAAGCCAAGCAACCACGACCAUCAUGUUCCUUGCAUCGCAGGCUUCAAAACCCAUUAAGGAAUCAGACCCGAGACUCGUCAUAGUUGGAUGUUUAAACUCGACGGCGUUCAUGGUGCAAAUUCGGCUACCUCAUGCGGUGGUGAGCAUCACCGCCACAACCAUGCGACUCCUCGGGACCUGGGCUUCAAAACCCAGUGGCCCAUUUCUUCAACCACCUUGGUUGAACAAUAGCACCACUGUACGCCGCCCGGCUCCACCGUGGGGUCUUGGCCAGGUAGUUACAAGUUAUUGGAGGAUCGUUUUGAGCUCCAAAGUUCAUGAUUGAGCUCGUAUCGUUCUCCCGAGCGUAUGGGGUUUCUCUUUGGCACGAUUUGUGAUGUGGGGAGUUCCGGUGUCUGAGUGUGUAUGGCGUAGGGGUAUCCUAUGAACGAAUAAACGAUCAACAUAAGCGCCGAGUUUUAAAGAAUCAUGUCAUAGACUUUAGUUUUAAAACCAUCAGCGGGACUUAAAUUUUAUUUUCUUUAAACGAUGCAUAAGAACACUUUAUUUUUAUUUUAAACUAUUGGAUCCAACUUGCAUGUUUUAUACAGGCUCCACUGAAUUUCAUA